CUGGCAAUUAUAUUGGAAACAAACAACAAAAUGUGUUAACCUUUUAACAUUAAGGUUAAAGUUACGAGCAAAUAUAGAUUGGAAAGUUAUCAUUUCAUGAUAACCAAAUAAUAAACACAUAAUUUAAACCAGCAAUAUGAUAACAGUUGUACGUGAUGUCAGUAAAACAUGAAAAAUGAAAACAAAAAUACAUACAAUAUUGAUUGAUGUAUAAAAUUGA